UGAGGAAUAUUGGUCAAUGGGCGGAAGCCUGAACCAGCCAUGCCGCGUGAAGGACUAAGGCCCUAUGGGUCGUAAACUUCUUUAGACGCAGAGCAAUAAGGGUCUCGAGAGAUCCGAUGAGAGUAUGCGUAGAAUAAGCAUCGGCUAACUCCGUGCCAGCAGCCGCGGUAAUACGGGGGAUGCGAGCGUUAUCCGGAAUUAUUGGGUUUAAAGGGUGCGUAGGCUGUUUUGCAAGUCAGGGGUGAAAGCCCGGAGCUCAACUCCGGAACUGCCUUUGAUACUGCGAGGCUGGAAUACGGAUGCCGUGGGAGGAAUGAGUAGUGUAGCGGUGAAAUGCAUAGAUAUUACUCAGAACACCGAUUGCGAAGGCAUCUCACGAAUCCGUCAUUGACGCUGAGGCACGAAAGCGUGGGGAUCAAACAGGAUUAGAUACCCUGGUAGU
rnacentral:rRNA from 1 species